GUUUAUGGCCAUACCACCCUGAACAUGGCCGAUCUCAGAAGCUAAGCAGAGUCAGGCCUGGUUAGUACUUAGUACUUGGAUGGGAAACAACCUAUAACUG
rnacentral:rRNA from 1 species